AUGAAGAAGGUCACAAAGACCACUGUGAGACAGCAGCAGCAGCAGGUGCAGCACAGCUAUUUAUUAAUGUCUGCAGGAGAACAAGAUUUAACCCUCAGGCCCAGCAAGAGCAGACCAGAUAGCAACAGGGAUUGAUUCACCACACGGAUGAUGCCAGCACAGAAGAAGCUGCCAGAAUAUCACAGGACAGGCAUUGGAUUCAGACCAAUCUCAAGGACUUGGGAGAUGCAGUCAGGAAAAGAAAUAAGAAAUAAGGAACAAGUGAGGUCUCUUGAUGGAGAGUAGCUGCAUUCACACAAUCAUGGGAUGCCCUGCACUGGGAGGAACCCACAAGGAUCAACAAGUUCAGCUCCUGAUCCUGCACAGGACAACCCCAACAAUCCCAGCACGUGUCUGAGGGUGUCACUACUCCAAGCUGUGCUGCCUACAACAAACCUCCAGUCCACCAGCUGGGUUCUCCUGAUGUCAUGUGGAUAUUCAGCUCCCUGCCACCCUACUUACACCAGGCAAUGGAGGCAUUUGCCUGUGUGAGUGGAGCAGAUGGAAAAACCACAGAGGAAGUCACGGUAGCUGAGUCUCCCCUCUCACCGUAC